rnacentral:rRNA from 1 species
UACGUAGGGUGCGAGCGUUAAUCGGAAUUACUGGGCGUAAAGCGUGCGCAGGCGGUUGUGCAAGACAGAUGUGAAAUCCCCGGGCUUAACCUGGGAAUUGCAUUUUGUGACUGCACGGCUAGAGUGUGUCAGAGGGGGGGUAGAAUUCCACGUGUAGCAGUGAAAUGCGUAGAUAUGUGGAGGAAUACCGAUGGCGAAGGCAGCCCCCCUGGGAUAACACUGACGCUCAUGCACGAAAGCGUGGGGAGCAACAGG